GUCUUCAAAAAUAAUCAUGGUUGCAAGAUAUAAAAACUAUCAAAAUGGAGGUUUAUUAAAAACAAAGCGAGCAAAAAUAUUUAUGGAUAACAAUUUCACUUUCAGAAAUGCACAAUUAAACAUAAUCCAAAUUAUUGAAAUGCAUAUAAACAUUUUAACAGAAAUAUAUAACUAAAAGGAUUUCAUAAACUACCUUACUGGCAUCCCAAGUAGGUCACCUAUAUACCCC
rnacentral:lncRNA from 1 species